rnacentral:tRNA from 1 species
GGCUCCGUAGCUUAGCUGAAUAGAGCGUCAGAUUCCGGUUCUGAAGGUCGAGGGUUUGAGUCCCUCCUGGGUCA